AGAAACUUUCAGGUCAGAGGCUUUUAGAGGGGAAGGGGGGAAGUAUAUACAUUUAUUUACACAAAUAAAUAUACUGUACAAACUAAAAGCAACUAUAUAUAUAUAUUUACAUUUCUGUCAGUCCUUUUAGCCCCUUCCUUUAACUUUAGUCCAGAAAGAAGCCUUUCAAGGCUGGAAAGUAACCAGUCCCUCUUGUGGGAGUGUUCUGGGCCUGAAUGCUCCCCCCUCACCAAGUUCCAGUUGUUUGUUGCAGUCUCUCCUCCUCAUGAAGUCCAAGAAGAUAGCUUUGAGUCCUUGCUCUUCUGUUGCUGUGUGAUUUCUCCCUCUCGGUCUCAUACCUCGGUUCGUAGGCUGCUGCAGUGUAGUUUAGCUUAUCAAGCGUCUGCGUCCUGGAAUGUUGAUUCCUCCUUUGGGUUUUUGUUUGUCCUGCGUUUAGAUCACAGCAGAGACAUCCUCCAGACCCCUCUCUAUUGGGAGUCCGUCUCCAAUUCUUGCCUGGGAUUUUUCUCCCUAGCAAUCGAGCCUCCUCUGGCCUGUCCACUUGGCUCUGCUCCAAUGCUGAGCCUCACAUCCACUCUCACUAAACAGCGAGAGGGAAAACCAGCCCUCCUCUGCAGCUUGGCUGCAAAGGUGGGGGGGAAAGAAGAAGAGGGCCUGGCUGCAGGGCCUGCCUCUCUCUCUCUCUCUCUCUCCCACUUACCAGUUGUUUGUGAGUCGCAUCCCUCAGAAACCUGCACUCAUUCCAAUGCUGUCUCUAACUCUGGCCUAGGCAGAGUUAUGGGGGCCUCAGGGCUCCCCCCUCCCCCCCAGAGGGGGAGAGAGGGAGCCCAGCCACCCCCUGGCCUUGUCCACCUACACGCAGCAGACACCAACAGCACAACACUAAGACUGCCAACAGCUUCUGGGGUUGUGAUAUAUGAUUUUGAGCAGAAGUGAACAAUAUGGAGAGUGAUUGGCUCUCCAGGGAACACUACCCUGGCACCCAGGCACCUCUGAGCCCCCCAGCCUCUGAGGGGAGGCCAAUUUCAAACCAUGACAACAUCUUAUGCCUAUUUUGAAACCUUAUAAUAAGGUUUUAUUUUCAUUGCU
rnacentral:lncRNA from 1 species